rnacentral:lncRNA from 1 species
AAACGAAGGAAAUAAAAAACUAGAUUCUAACGUAAGGUUAGAUCCGGUAAAAGUUGCACAAUAGUUUCCGGUGUAGAAACUGUGGUGCGAAAAGGAUUAAUUAAAUGCUAAAAAGGAAAGUAUAAAUUGCAAGGGAAAUAGUGUAGAACUUGUAAAAAAAUAAAUAAAGAAACAAUACUGAAAUUGCUGGAAAAGAAAAUAAGCAAAAGC